AGAUUGAACGCUAGCGGGAUGCUUUACACAUGCAAGUCGAACGGCAGCGCGGACUUCGGUCUGGCGGCGAGUGGCGAACGGGUGAGUAAUAUAUCGGAACGUGCCCAGUAGCGGGGGAUAACUACGCGAAAGCGUGGCUAAUACCGCAUACGCCCUACGGGGGUAAAGGGGGGAUCGCAAGACCUCUCACUAUUGGAGCGGCCGAUAUCAGAUUAGCUAGUUGGUGAGGUAAAGGCUACACCAAGGCGACGAUCUGUAGCUGGUUUGAGAGGACGACCAGCCGACACUGGGACUGAGACACGGCCCAGACUCCGUACGGGAGGCAGCAGGUGGGAAUUUGGACAAGUGGGGAAACCUGACUCAGCCACGUCCGCGUGCGUACGAUGGGGAACGUCCGUUACGGGUUAGUAACGU
rnacentral:rRNA from 1 species